AUGCAAGUCGAACGAUGAUCAGGAGCUUGCUCCUGUGAUUAGUGGCGAACGGGUGAGUAACACGUGAGUAACCUGCCCCUGACUCUGGGAUAAGCGUUGGAAACGACGUCUAAUACUGGAUAUGAUCACUGGCCGCAUGGUCUGGUGGUGGAAAGAUUUUUUGGUUGGGGAUGGACUCGCGGCCUAUCAGCUUGUUGGUGAGGUAAUGGCUCACCAAGGCGACGACGGGUAGCCGGCCUGAGAGGGUGACCGGCCACACUGGGACUGAGACACGGCCCAGACUCCUACGGGAGGCAGCAGUGGGGAAUAUUGCACAAUGGGCGAAAGCCUGAUGCAGCAACGCCGCGUGAGGGAUGACGGCCUUCGGGUUGUAAACCUCUUUUAGUAGGGAAGAAGCGAAAGUGACGGUACCUGCAGAAAAAGCACCGGCUAACUACGUGCCAGCAGCCGCGGUAAUACGUAGGGUGCAAGCGUUGUCCGGAAUUAUUGGGCGUAAAGAGCUCGUAGGCGGUUUGUCGCGUCUGCUGUGAAAUCCCGAGGCUCAACCUCGGGCUUGCAGUGGGUACGGGCAGACUAGAGUGCGGUAGGGGAGAUUGGAAUUCCUGGUGUAGCGGUGGAAUGCGCAGAUAUCAGGAGGAACACCGAUGGCGAAGGCAGAUCUCUGGGCCGUAACUGACGCUGAGGAGCGAAAGCGUGGGGAGCGAACAGGAUUAGAUACCCUGGUAGUCCACGCCGUAAACGUUGGGCGCUAGAUGUAGGGACCUUUCCACGGUUUCUGUGUCGUAGCUAACGCAUUAAGCGCCCCGCCUGGGGAGUACGGCCGCAAGGCUAAAACUCAAAGGAAUUGACGGGGGCCCGCACAAGCGGCGGAGCAUGCGGAUUAAUUCGAUGCAACGCGAAGAACCUUACCAAGGCUUGACAUACACCGGGAAAUGGGCCAGAGAUGGUCGCCCCCUUGUGGUCGGUGUACAGGUGGUGCAUGGUUGUCGUCAGCUCGUGUCGUGAGAUGUUGGGUUAAGUCCCGCAACGAGCGCAACCCUCGUUCUAUGUUGCCAGCGCGUUAUGGCGGGGACUCAUAGGAGACUGCCGGGGUCAACUCGGAGGAAGGUGGGGAUGACGUCAAAUCAUCAUGCCCCUUAUGUCUUGGGCUUCACGCAUGCUACAAUGGCCGGUACAAAGGGCUGCGAUACCGUAAGGUGGAGCGAAUCCCAAAAAGCCGGUCUCAGUUCGGAUUGAGGUCUGCAACUCGACCUCAUGAAGUCGGAGUCGCUAGUAAUCGCAGAUCAGCAACGCUGCGGUGAAUACGUUCCCGGGCCUUGUACACACCGCCCGUCAAGUCAUGAAAGUCGGUAACACCCGAAGCCGGUGGCCUAACCCUUGUGGAAGGAGCCGU
rnacentral:rRNA from 2 species